rnacentral:rRNA from 1 species
CGAACGGGUGAGUAAUGCGUGACCAACCUGCCCCAUGCUCCAGAAUAGCUCUUGGAAACGGGUGGUAAUGCUGGAUGCUCCAACUUGACGCAUGUCUUGUUGGGAAAGUGUUUAGUGGCAUGGGAUGGGGUCGCGUCCUAUCAGCUUGUAGGCGGGGUAAUGGCCCACCUAGGCUUCGACGGGUAGCCGGCCUGAGAGGGCGGACGGCCACAUUGGGACUGAGAUACGGCCCAGACUCCUACGGGAGGCAGCAGAA